rnacentral:rRNA from 1 species
CAGCAGCCACGGGAAUACGAAGGGGGCUAGCGUUGCUCGGAAUGACUGGCGUAAAGGGCGCGUAGGCGGCGAUCAAAGUCAGGCGUGAAAUUCCUGGGCUCAACCUGGGGGCUGCGCUUGAUACUUGGUUGCUUGAGUGGGGAAGAGGGUCGUGGAAUUCCCAGUGUAGAGGUGAAAUUCGUAGAUAUUGGGAAGAACACCGGUGGCGAAGGCGGCGACCUGGUCCUUGACUGACGCUGAGGCGCGAAAGCGUGGGGAGCAAACAGGAUUAGAUACCCCGGUAGUCCCUGUCUCUUAUACA